UCGGGAAUUUUGGGCAAUGGGCGAAAGCCUGACCCAGCAACGCCGCGUGAAGGAUGAAGUAUUUCGGUAUGUAAACUUCGUAAGAAUAGGAAGAAUAAAUGACGGUACUAUUUGUAAGGUCCGGCUAACUACGUGCCAGCAGCCGCGGUAAUACGUAGGGACCAAGCGUUGUUCGGAUUUACUGGGCGUAAAGGGCGCGUAGGCGGUUUGUCAAGUCAGUUGUGAAAUCUCCGAGCUUAACUCGGAACGGUCAACUGAUACUGUCAAACUAGAGUACAGAAGGGGCAAUCGGAAUUCUUGGUGUAGCGGUGAAAUGCGUAGAUAUUGCUCGGAAGGCCGGAGCCGAAGGGGCCCUACUGGUACGUAACUGACGCUGAGGCACGAAAGCGUGGGGAGCAAACAGGAUUAGAUACCCCAGUAGUCCCUGAGCGGGCUGGCAAGGCGCAU
rnacentral:rRNA from 1 species